GGUGAAAGACGUUACAUCUCUUCGGUAGCAUUUUACGAGGUGCUGCAUGGUUGUCGUCAGCUCGUGCCGUGAGGUGUCGGUUAAGGUCCCAUAACGAGCGCAACCCUACCUUAGUUGCCAUCAGGUUAAGCUGGGGACUCUAAAGGAACUGCCUACGCAAGUAGUGAGGAAGCGGGGAUGACGUCAAAUCAGCAGGCCCUUACGUCCAGGGCUACACACGUGCUACAAUGGCCGAUACAGAGGGCAGCUACCUGGUGACAGGAUGCAAAUCUCCAAAGUCGGUCUCAGUUCGGAUCGGAGUCUGCAACCCGACUCCGUGAAGUUGGAUUCGCUAGUAAUCGCGCAUCAGCCAUGGCGCGGUGAAUACGUUCCCGGGCCUU
rnacentral:rRNA from 1 species